UACGGAGGGUGCAAGCGUUAUCCGGAUUUAUUGGGUUUAAAGGGAGCGUAGGCGGCUUAAUAAGUCAGUGGUUAAAGGUAGCAGCUUAACUGUUUUACAUGCCACUGAUACUGUUGAGCUUGAGUUGACAGAAGGCAGAUAGAAUUUCUGGUGUAGCGGUGAAAUGCUUAGAUACCAGAAGGAAUACCGAUUGCGAAGGCAGUCUGCUGCAGUCACACUGACGCUGAGGCUCGAAGGUGCGGGGAUCAAACAGG
rnacentral:rRNA from 1 species